rnacentral:rRNA from 1 species
UGGGGAAUCUUGCGCAAUGCGCGAAAGCGUGACGCAGCAACGCCGCGUGGGGGAAGAAGGCCUUCGGGUUGUAAACCCCUUUCAGGAGGGACGAAGGUAGGGCGGUGAACAGCCGUCCCUACUGACGGUACCUCCAGAAGAAGCCCCGGCUAACUACGUGCCAGCAGCCGCGGUAAUACGUAGGGGGCAAGCGUUGUCCGGAAUCAUUGGGCGUAAAGCGCGCGUAGGCGGCCCGGUAAGUCCGCUGUAAAAGUCCAGGGCUCAACCCUGGAAAGCCGGUGGAUACUGUCGGGCUAGAGUCCGGAAGAGGCGAGUGGAAUUCCUGGUGUAGCGGUGGAAUGCGCAGAUAUCAGGAGGAACACCGAUGGCGAAGGCAGCUCGCUGGGACGGUACUGACGCUGAGGCGCGAAAGCGUGGGGAGCGAACAGGGAUUAGAUACCCUGGUAGUCCACGCCGUAAACGAUGGGCACUAGGUGUGGGAGGUGUCGACUCCUCCCGUGCCGUCGCUAACGCAUU